rnacentral:tRNA from 1 species
UCCCUAGUGGCUCAGUUGGUAAAGAUCCCACCUGCAAUGCAGGAUUCCCAGGUUCAGUCCCUGGCUGGGGAC